AUACGGAGGGUGCAAGCGUUACUCGGAAUCACUGGGCGUAAAGCGCGCGCAGGCGGUCUUUUAAGUUGGAUGUGAAAGCCUACGGCUCAACCGUAGAACUGCAUCCAAAACUAUUAGACUAGAGUGUGGGAGAGGAAGAUGGAAUUAGUUGUGUAGGGGUAAAAUCCGUAGAGAUAACUAGGAAUACCAAAAGCGAAGGCAAUCUUCUGGAACACUACUGACGCUGAGGCGCGAAAGCGUGGGGAGCAAACGGGAUUAGAUACCCCAGUAGUCC
rnacentral:rRNA from 1 species